CCCCUUUUACUUCAAAUACGCUUAUCCCAUCAUACUUGCCACUUUCUGAAGUGGUGGACCCCAAGUCCAGUGGAUCCAGCAGUACGCUUGCUGGCCGUCUCUCCAGUGCCCCAAGGCACUUCAUACAGCAACAUGGAGUCUAAACCUUAGGAAAAUGGGAAUCUUAGCUGAUCAAAGAUUUAAGAGAGAAAGAAAUCUCAAGCAGC
rnacentral:lncRNA from 1 species